rnacentral:sRNA from 1 species
AGUCGGGCCGCGGCGACGGCGGCAGGAGCGCGUCCCGGCGCCGCCUCGGGCUCCGUUCGGCUCGGGGGCUGCUCCGGGAGGAGGAGAGCCAGGGGAGGCGCCAGGCCCGCGGCCGGGCGCAUGGCUUAGGGACGCUCCCGGCCGCCGCAGCCCCAGCAUGGGGAAACUUCACUCCAAGCCGGCCGCCGUGUGCAAGCGCAGGGAGAGCCCGGAAGGUGACAGCUUCGCCGUGAGCGCUGCCUGGGCUCGGAAGGGCAUCGAGGAGUGGAUCGGGAGACAGCGCUGCCCGGGCGGUGUCUCGGGACCCCGACAGCUGCGGUUGGCGGGCACCAUAGGCCGAAGCACCCGGGAGCUCGUGGGCGACGUGUUGAGAGACACGCUCAGCGAGGAAGAGGAGGACGACUUUCGGCUGGAAGCUGCUGUCAGAAGGUUGUGGACUCAAACAUCUUGGCAAGCAACCCUGAGACUAAAAUAUU